GACGAACGCUGGCGGCGUGCCUAAUACAUGCAAGUUGAGCGAUGAAGAUUGGUGCUUGCACCAAUUUGAAGAGCAGCGAACGGGUGAGUAACGCGUGGGGAAUCUGCCUUUGAGCGGGGGACAACAUUUGGAAACGAAUGCUAAUACCGCGUAAUAACUUUAAACAUAAGUUUUAAGUUUGAAAGAUGCAAUUGCAUCACUCAAAGAUGAUCCCGCGUUGUAUUAGCUAGUUGGUGCGCUAAAGGCCCACCAAGGCGAGGAUACAUAGCCGACCUGGAAGGGGGAUCGGCCACAUUGGGACUGAGACACGGCCCAAACUCCUACGGGAGGCAGCAGUAGGGAAUCUUCGGCAAGGGACGAAAGUCUGACCGAGCAACGCCGCGGGAGUGAAGAAGGUUGUCGGAUCGUAAAACUCUGUUGGUAGAGAAGAACGUUGGUGAGAGUGGAAAGCUCAUCAAGUGACGGUAACUACCCAGAAAGGGACGGCUAACUACGUG
rnacentral:rRNA from 1 species